AACCGAAAUUUGUUAUUUUCUAAUUCGAACUGAUUUCUGAUUUGGUUUACAAAAAACGGUUUGCAAUUAAUCGUAUCGCCAAAAAAGAAGCUUAACUUUAUUUGAAAGAAAAACUUCGUGUUCAUUUCUAUUCAAACUUACUUCGAUAAAUUCAUCGAGAUCGAUUUCGUCUCUCGCAAUGAACACUGAGACUUAUUGUUGGAAAUGGAUUACAUCCUUUGGACAAGUCUCAUCAAAUAAUUGAACUCGAGCCGUUUAGGAAAAAUGUGGCCUUAAAAUCUGAAAUGGACCAAAAGGCCAAAAAAGAGUCUCACACAUCCAAAAAAAAUCUGUAUGGACCAAGUGAUUGUGAAAUUAUCAUUUUACCCUUAAUGAAUGAAUAAUAUGAACCAUUGGAUUCUAUAAUCUUUCUAUAAAUCAGAACCGUCGGAUUAAGAGAAGAAAAGAGGAAUGUUAUAUUUACAAAAGUACCAUUAAUGAAACUCCAACCAGAGCCAUUGAUCAUCUUUUCUAUGUUUUAAUCUUGGUCACACGCUUUCACAGAUCUCUCAUUCUCUAUCUUCUCCUCCUCUUUAAUCUGACGCAUAAAUAACUCAGAGCCACACGAUUUUCAUUAUUUUAUUAUUCUCUCAUUCGACUAGGUACAACUAGUAUAACUCAUACAACUAUACAUGUUAAAAAUAAUAUAACUGGUACAACUGGUAUAUAAAUAUUAUAAUUCAUGUACAAUUUGCAGCUACUAUAAUUAACUCAACUAUUAAAUCAUUUUUUUACAUAUGAUGAUAAAAUUUCAUCUAUUUUUUCUGAGGCUCUUCAAUUAUUGUUAAAUUAUUAAAUUACACUAUCAAUUUUAUUUAAGAGACUUUAUACUUUUAAGGUUUGUUAAUUAGAUUGACCAUAUUAUUAUGAAAAAUAAACAUCAAAAAUAUAUUUACAAAGUUAUAAUGUGAAAAUAUUGGUACAACUCCUAAAACUAAACAUAUACAAAAUUUGGCAUAUUUUUUAUUAUAUAUUAAACAUGAAUUACUGGUACAAUUUUGACAUUUCAGAAAUUGACAAAAUCAAUUUGGUAUUUCCAUAUGAAAAAACAAUCAAAUGACCAAACUGGUAACUGUUUAGAUAGAUUCCUUAUUUUUAAUGAUUUUUUGUUUUUUUUGUUUUGUUUUUAGCAAUUCUUACACCAUCAUAUAAGUUUACAUGAUCUAUCUUAUACUUUUAAGGUUUAUUAACUUGUUUGUCUACAUAAUUUAUGGAAAACAUACAUAAAAUGUAUUUAAACAGUUAUGAAAUGUAUUUACCAGACUAGUAAUACUGAUAUAACUAGUACAACUACUCAGGUUCUGAAAUUUAAAUAUUCCUUCGAGUAUGUCAUAUGAAAAAAAUCAAUAACAUGGCUAAAUUGUAAAGUAUUUAUAAAGGUUCCUUAUGAUAUUUCAUGGGGGCUUUUUUUUUUUUGCAAAUCUAACACAAUCACAUAAGUUUGCAUGAUCUACCUUAUACUUUUAAGGUUUGUUAACUUCUUUGUCCACAUAAUUUUUGGAAAACAUACAUGAAAUGUAUUUUAACAAAAUUUAUGAUUUCAUUUUAUUGGGGCACAGAUAUGUACACAUAAUGAAGUGGUACAACUGAGAUGCAAGCGGGAAAGAUUAAACUAGUAUAACUAUGUACAGACGGUACAGCUCAAAUACUAGUACAACUAUGUUAUUUCAUCACGAUUAAAACAAUUCUUUGCAAAAAAAAAACACAAAAAUCAUACAUCAAAUCCAAUCUUUUUCUUCUUUCCGGUGACUCGCGUUUUUAGAACAAUGUUUGAAGAAUUUUCUGGCUCUGCAUCUAGCUUUUUGGCCUCAAGACCAAAAAGAUGAAGAUGAUCUUUUUCCGAAAAUCGUACAACUAGUAUAACUAGUACAACUAGUACAACUUGUAAACGUAUCAAUUUCAAAUCAAAUAUUAUUAAAAAUAUACUAUUCAUAUAUUUGACACAUGCAUGCGGGAUAAAUUAGACCAAUAUGUCUUAUUGGUUCUACAUCAUUCUCUUUUCUAGCAUCUUCAUAUGCCGAAAACAAUAAAUAUAUGAAAUUAUUAUACAUCUCAUAAUUAAGUGAUGUCAUUUCAUAAUUUCUCAAAGCCAUGUCAUCUUUUUUUGUGAGAAUGAACAUGGUGAUGAUACAUAAGAAAAUGAUUUUUCAAAUAAUAAAUAUGACAUACUCAAUAUGUACUAGUUGUACUAAUUCGAGUUGUAGAAGUUGUACUAGUUUGAGUUGUACUAGUUGUCCUAGUUUGAGUUGUACUAGUUGUACUAGUAAUACUUUUCGUUGUUCAUUAUUUUGAAUAUCGGAUGGAAAAGAUGAAAUUUGACUCUGGAUAUGAUAUAAUUGAUUAAACAUGAUUAUGGGUUGAUCGAUUUGAGAUAAGAAAGAGAAAAUUAGUGGAUGGUUGAAGAAAUUUUUUGAUUUUGUAUUAUGGUGGAAGAACUAUGAAUGGGGAAGAAAUGGGGGAAGAAGAAGGAGAUUGGGUCGGAUUUCGGGUCUGGAUCUGGGUCGGAUAUUGGGUUGGAUAGUAAUGGCAUAGGUUAGUAAAUAUGUUUAACUCCUUAGGUUUUUCAGUUAUUUAACAUAGAUUUCUAUUUAAAUUUAAAUACAAAAUAAAUAAAUAAAGUGAUGGGUCUAAUUGAGAUUUUUUGGAGACCAAGUGGUCCAUCUCAGCAUUUGAUCC